rnacentral:tRNA from 1 species
GGGGUCGUAGCUCAAACAGGGAGAGCGUCCGGUAAAACUUUUUUAAUCGAAAGCGGCACCGGAAGGUUGUUGGUUCAAAUCCAGCCGACUCCA